AAAAAAAAAAAAAAAAGAAUAAAAGGAGUUCGUGCUUGUAAUGAGCUUAGGCCAGUGCCUACCACCUAUGAAGCACUGAGUGGUAGCUGUCAUCCUGGAAGAGUGAUACCAGCAAACGCUUAGUGCUGGCACUAAGUACUCAUAUGCAUUAGAGCUCAAUGAAUCCAGACAAGAACCCUGGAAAGAACCACAUGGGGUGGGUUCUGUUAUAGUUCUCCCAUUCUGCAAAUGGUAAAGCUGAGGCUCAGGUCAAUGAAGGUCCCAGGGUAAGAAAGCAGGGGAGCUGGGACUGACUGUGCAGUCACUGCAUGACACACCCAAUGACCUCUCCACCAUCGCUAUACAGAGGGGACCAAAUCUGCCUCCUGACCCUGACUUCGACCCCCUCCUCCCACCGUCCCCUCUGCCUCUUCCUCAUCGCUCUCGAGAUCCAUCUCCAAGAGGGUCCUAGUGAGUGACCAACCCAAGGUGAGGACCCAACAACAGCGUCUGAGCCAGAGUCUAUAGGACACACGACGCGUCCAUCACUGGAGCUUUAACUAGAGGAUCGGGGCCACACAAGUGACUCCCCAGCCUUCCUCUCCAACUCUCCCUGUAUCUGCCCUCACCCCUAAAUACACACAUGGACCACAGGACCAUUCUGCUUUUUCCUCCUGCUUUCCAGUCCCUGUGCUUGGCCCUUCAAGCAUUUUUUCCUCAACCGGCAAUCGCCCGUCUGGAGAGAAGGAGAAGCUGCAAGGUCAGUGCGGGAGAGGGCGAGUGAGAAAUCUGAAGCCCAGAGAACAGCCUGGAGAAGGAGGAGCCGCCAGCUGGCAGGCUGUGCUUCAGAGCUGCUGAUCGGAUCCGGGUAGCCAGGGCUCUGGACGUGCCUGGUACAAAGGGAGGAGCUAAGCCCCCAGAGUGCUGGCAUGGGCAGGUGGGGGAGCCCCAAGGGCCAGCACCUCUGUCCCCACCCCAGAAGACUGCAGACAGCUGUGAUGGAUGGCCACCUGGCUUGAACUGACUCCUGGCCCUCUAUUUAAUCCUGUUCUGACUCUGAGAUUUGAGUCCCUCCCUAAUGAGUCCUGUUCUGGGUCCCCGGUUCUCAGAAGGAGAUUCUGAUGCAGAAGGAAGGGGACCUGAAGUGCUGACAGCUGGUCCAAGAGCACACUUCGAGCAGCAAGACUCUGGAAUACUGAGCAGUGAGUACCAGAGUAACGAUUCUCAUCAAAGGAGGGCAUCAGAACAAACACGCGUGCCUCGCCUCCUGCUGCCUUUCUCAAGACAAAGACAUUCUGAUCCAGAAGGCGUAGGGUAGGUCCUAACACAGGUGUUUCGAAACAGUCUCAAAUGGUUUCAUGUGCCCAUCCCCUUGUAAAAACUGGUUGUUCCUGAGUUCAAUAAUAAUACCUGUGUUAACCAAGUA